rnacentral:rRNA from 1 species
AUUGAACGCUGGCGGCAGGCCUAACACAUGCAAGUCGAGCGGAUGAAGGGUGCUUGCUCCUGGUUUCAGCUUCGGACGGGUGUGUAAUGCCUAGGAAUCUGCCUGGUUGUUUUGGAUAACGUCCUGAUACGGGCGCUUAUACCGCAUACGUCCUGAGUUUGAAUGUGGUGGUUCUUCGUUCCUCACGCUUUCUUAUGUUCCUAGGUCGGAUUUGCUAGUUGGUGGGGUAAAGUCCUACCAAGGCGACGAUCCGUAACUCGUCUGAGAGGAUGAUCAGUCACACUGGAACUGAGAAACGGUCAAGAAGAAUACGGGAGGAAGCAGUGGGGAAUAUUGGACAAUGGGCGAAAGCCUGAUAGAGCAAUGCCGCGUGUGAGAAGAAGGACUUAGGAUUGUAAAGCACGUUAAGUUGGGAGGAAGGGAAGUAAGUUAAAACCUUGAUGUUUUGACGUUAACAACAGAAUAAGCACCGGCUAACUUCGUG